CCUUUUCUGACUGGUGAUUUGUAUUUUUGUUUUAUUUAUUUAUUUAUUUUUUAGGUUACUACCUUUCUGCUUGUAGAAGAAUCCAAGUAGUUGGGUCUUUUUUUUUUUGGUUUAUAAUGAACAGGCAUUUGAACUGGGCAAACAGGACGACAGCAGCAGUGAGCAUGAGAUCAUUGCAUUGCAGCACUGUAGCAAACUGGCACCCUGCCUUUGCACCCCUUUGGUUCAGGAGACAAACGUGUGUAAUCCUCAUUUCUAAAGUCAGCACAGCCUGGAAGGAUUCCUGGUCUCUCCCACCUUCUACCAUUCUGCUGCCAGUGACGGCAAGGAUUGGUGUAGCUUCUGCGCAGUGCUUUGUGCCUGGAAUACCGAGAAGGAAGAAAAAGAAGACAAGCACCCUGGUCCUUUUCUAAGAAAUUACAGGCGCCCUUGAAGAAAAAAUCUGAGUGUGUCCUACUACAUGCAAGAGUGCUGGAAAAAAAAAAAAAAAAAAAAAAAAAAAGAGACGCUCCUGCUCAAAAACAAAAACAAAAGCAAACAAACAAAAAUCCAAACCAAAACAAACCAAAAAAAGCAAACAUUGGCUGUAUAACUACAGAGACAUCGGGCUUUGUAAAUCAGCUUUUUAAGGCAACAUAACCAAAUGAGCCUUCUUUAUUUUUAUUAUUUCAAACCAUAUGGCAUAAUUAGCAAUAUAUUGCACUUGGUGAAAUCGCACCUUUCAUAUCAGGGAAAAACUUAAAAUGGAUAUGAAAAGUGAAGAAAGUGAUCAUAGGAGAAAACCAUUUCAGAUCAACCACCUCAGAAGAGCCAGAUUCCACUUCUGUGGCCAGGACUUUUACAUUAUGGCUGGUCCGAUUGUUUUACCCUGCGUUCUAUGCUACUAAACCUUGGAUCAUUCCUAAAGUGUCUGAUGAUUUGUGAGCCUCAAGUGACUACUCUGUGGAAUCAUCUGUCCUUGCCUUUGAAUUAGCUUUCCCUAGGCCAUGAGUCAACAUUAGUAGUUUAUACAUCCAAAUUGAUGACAAGAGCACCUCAAAGGCAGCAGCCUCAAGGAGCAGCCAUGGCCCCAGACUUGUCGCACGGAUGCAGAAAACUUAAUGGAGGAGGCUGAGCAAAACAGAGCGUGACACUCCCAAUCAUCUGCAUGCUGGAAAUGAGGAAAUGGUUAUUGAAUGAUACAAGUGCUUUUCGAUCAUUUAGAAAGUUCUGUUUCCCAAGAUCUUUUUUUUUUUUUUUUUU
rnacentral:lncRNA from 1 species